rnacentral:lncRNA from 1 species
GUUCAAUAUCAUUUAGCUACUAAGUGUCAGGCACGAUUCCUACCGAGGUCUUCCUGUUCUCUAUCUACUAUGCCAUGUGUCUCUGUUGUUUUUUUGUAAACUAGAAAUGAAAAUAAUCAUUUCCUCCUCUGCAGCAAAAAACAAAAAUCAAAACAAAACCAAAAACCUUUCUUUCUAUCACUUCAGCUCCUGGAUGUGUCCAAACAAAGCUAUCAAAAGGGUGUCUGGUGGCCACCUUCUACUGACACUGUGACAGGGGAGGGGAGAAAAGAAAGGUGCCUGGAAAUGGGGCUGGGCUCUGCCUUUGUGAAUCCUUUGUGGUGUCUGCUUCUAAAAUUUCCAAACUGCUUCAUGGACAUAUAAGCUCUUGGAUAACAAGCUGUAGAUCUGUUCUCUCCCUUCCCUUCCUUUCCCCCCUACUUCUUCUCUUCCUUUGUCCUUUCCCACUCUGUGUGUAUUGGAGGGUGGGGGUGGGGCUGGGGGCUCAGUCUUUACCUGUGCAGUGACUUCAGGGUUGAUUAUUACCGCUGUCUUACCUCAUUAGGGCUUGCAGCUGCUGGGAGCCCAGGUCCCGCACACCUCUGGCCCCCUUGCGGGAUGAGGAAGAAUCGCUCUGCGUAUGCUGGCUGAUGUUUCGAGUUUGGAACAAUACUUCCCCCCAAAUAAAAGAGAGGAAAAAGGACAAAGGAAGAAAGAACUGUCUCAGGGAGCAUGGACAUUUCCUGAGAGAGAACAGAAGAAAGGAGGGGGAAAGAGAUUGGCUAAUUAAAGGAGGAAAAGCAGCAUGGAAGAUAACAAGAAUCAAAGAAAAAACUAGUGUAUUCAAGCUGCAAGUGACCUUUGUAAUAACCUCUUCCAGUCCAUUCAUUUUACAGAUGAGGAAACUGAGGCCCACAAAAGGGAAGUAAUUUGCCUAAAGUCUUACACUUAGCAACUGAGAAAGGACUAGAACCCCGUACUCCUAACUCCCAGAUGAGGGUUAUUCAAUUAUGCCAUCAAAAACUAUAAUUUUGCAAAAACACAUAUAAAAGCAUUAGAUUAUAGGAUUUUAGAUUUGGAAGAGACUUUACUUAUGUCAUCUAGACCUAGGCUAAAAGUGAAUCCCAGAGUAAUUCAGAAAUUUUAAUUCUUCAUUAUUAUAAUGGGAGGGAGAGGUUGGAGUUACAUAGUACCUUUCCUCCAAAGUAUGCAACUUGCCAUGAAAUAGGUAAGCAUAGCAACAAAUAAACCCAAAGCUGAUGCACGUUGCCA